AACGAACGCUGGCGGCAUGCCUAACACAUGCAAGUCGAACGAUUGCCUUCGGGUGAUAGUGGCGCACGGGUGCGUAACGCGUGGGAAUCUGCCCUUGGGUUCGGAAUAACAGCUGGAAACGGCUGCUAAUACCGGAUGAUAUCGCGAGAUCAAAGAUUUAUCGCCUGAGGAUGAGCCCGCGUUGGAUUAGGUAGUUGGUGGGGUAAAGGCCUACCAAGCCGACGAUCCAUAGCUGGUCUGAGAGGAUGAUCAGCCACACUGGGACUGAGACACGGCCCAGACUCCUACGGGAGGCAGCAGUGGGGAAUAUUGGACAAUGGGCGCAAGCCUGAUCCAGCAAUGCCGCGUGAGUGAUGAAGGCCCUAGGGUUGUAAAGCUCUUUUACCCGGGAAGAUAAUGACUGUACCGGGAGAAUAAGCCCCGGCUAACUCCGUGCCAGCCGCCGCCGUAA
rnacentral:rRNA from 1 species